rnacentral:misc_RNA from 1 species
CCAUCUCACUCUCCCCUUUCCCCCCCUUACUUUCGUUCUCUGUAUCUCUUUUGUUUUUUUUUUAUUAAAUCAGAUUUUUAGAUAAUGCGUGAGCAGUGACCCCCCGAACGGAAGUAAAAGCAGCAGCAUAACUGGUAUCGCACGUUGCGCAACUUUGAUCGCGUUUAUAUAGUUUAUGUAUCGCGAUUUUUUGGAAAAAAAAACAACGUGACAAAUACUAUAGAGAUAAGAGAUAAGAGAUAAAAGUUGUAAGGGAAAAAAAUUGAAAUUGUUAGUAAUACAAUGGAUUCGGUAGGGCGUGCGGUGGUUCGCGCGACUUUUGUUUGUUUUUUGGCUCUUUUUGUGGGAAUCGAUGCCGCUGAAGGAAAUAGUGCCAUGCUCUAUCUGUCCCAGUUCGGUUACUUGGGCCCAGUGAAAGCCAAUUCCAGUCAAUUGUUGGACGAGAGUAGCUUUAAGAAAGCGGUGGAGGAUUUUCAGAAUUUUGCCGGAUUAGAUGUCACAGGCGAAUUGGACGAUAAGACUUUGGAAACUAUGGCCUUACCCAGAUGCGGUGUAAAAGACAAGGUGGGCACGGGGGACAAUAGGGCCAAAAGAUACGCCCUUCAAGGCAGCAGAUGGAAAGUGAAAAACUUGAGCUACAAAAUUUCAAAAUACCCGCCGAAACUGAAGAGGAAAGACGUGGACGAGGAGGUGCAACGAGCGUUCAACGUAUGGACCGACUAUACCGAUCUCACUUUCACCCCCAAAACCGGACAGGUCCACAUCGAGAUCCGUUUCGAGAGUGGGGAGCAUGGAGACGGCGAUCCCUUCGAUGGACCGGGAGGCACUUUGGCCCACGCCUAUUUUCCUCCACCCGAUCAGUAUCAGCACUCACACUUAACCUCCUCACCACCACUCACACACCAAUACCCGUGGUACACUCACACCACCAGACAUCAGAAUCACCUCACCGGUUUGGGUAUGUCACACGCAUACGUCAAUCCCUGGCUUACCUUCGGGAAUCCCUGGUUCACGGUUGGUCGGGUUAAUCCCGGUUACACGCCAUAUACGCCGCAACUGCCUGGGAAAGUUUUCGGUGGCGACGCCCAUUUUGACGCAUCCGAAAGCUGGACGAUCGACAGCUACAGAGGUACAAACCUGUUCCAAGUGGCAGCCCACGAGUUCGGACACUCACUGGGUCUGAGCCACAGUGACGUGAGGAGUGCCCUUAUGGCGCCGUUUUAUAGAGGCUACAAUCCGGCUUUCACCCUGGAUCAGGACGACGUGGACGGGAUCCAGGCUUUGUACGGUAAAAAGACCACCAAGAAUACCCCCUCGGUGGAUUCUGAUGAUGCCGGCGACGAGAGUCACGACGUGCCGAAGAAAGUGCCCGGGCCAGAUAGUGGAUCUGCUCCGGACGCUUCCCUAUGCAAGGAUCCGUCUUUCGAUACGAUUUUCAACUCUGCCGAGGGAUACACGUACAUUUUUAAAGGGGAUAAGUACUGGAGGCUUACCGAGGAAAGUGUGGCGCCUGGGUAUCCCAAGUUGAUUUCGGAGGGAUGGCCUGGACUCACUGGGAAUAUCGAUGCCGCUUUCACGUAUAAAAAUGGCAAGAGUUACUUCUUUAAGGGAUCCAAGUACUGGCGCUACAAGGGUCGUAAAAUGGACGGCGACUACCCCAAAGAGAUCAGCGAAGGGUUCACCGGUAUCCCGAACAACCUGGACACCGCAAUGGUCUGGAGCGGUAACGGUAAGAUCUACUUCUUCAAAGGCAGCAAGUUCUGGAGAUUCGACCCGUCACAACGUCCCCCCGUGAAGAGCACUUACCCCAAACCCACCUCCAAUUGGGAGGGCGUGCCUGAGAAUAUGGACGCCGCCUUCCAAUGGACCAACGGGUACACUUACUUUUAUAAGGGUGGCGCUUACUAUAGGUUUAACGAUCGAGCUUUCGCCGUUGAUCAAACGGUACCGGCCUUCCCACGUUCGACCGCUUUUUGGUGGUUCGGUUGUAAGGACGCCCCCCAAGGCACCAUCGGCACAAGUGAGUCUAGAGGAUGGUUACAAGGUGAGGAGGGCAGUACCUCACCUUUCGACGAACAAAACGGAGGAUACGAUAUGGACGCAGUCGUAAACCGUAUCCUACGGUCAGUGUUGCUAAAACGUCGUGGCUACUACAUUCCAGAAAGCUACCGUAGACCGCCAGGCAGACUGUAGACUCUCCCCCCCCACCUCACUCAUCAUUGGUGGACCUCGCAGUUUUUGGAAUUCAUUUUUUCGCCCUCUAAGUGUUUACCAUGAGGAUUCUCCGGCAGACCCUCCUCUAGGUCCCAACCAUCUAAAAAGCGACAACGCUGGACAAAGUAGUUCCUCAAUCAACCUGUCAACGGUCUACCACUUGGUACCAACACUGGUGGCCACCCUGGC